AAGAAGGAGAAGAGGAAGAAGAGGAAGAGCUUAUUGCUUGGAAAGGAAAAUGUAGACUCCAAAAAAACCUGCAAACUUUGGGGAAUGAUUUCAGCAAUGGGUCCUGAAAGGGCAGCCACAGAUGGAGCCAGCUGGGAAGAUGCUCCGUAUUCCAUUCUUCUAUUCCAAGACCUGGACGAUUAAGGAAAUAAGCAGUUUUUCUAUGAUGUCAGACAGGAUUUAUAAGAUGAAACUACUUGAGCUGACAGAGGUAGUCCAAGAUAAUCGCGUCGUUGGUGUGAUUUCAUCAAUAUCAGCGUGCAUCCGUGUUCUUACGCGCUCUUAACCUUCACGAUCUCUCAUUUGACCCUUACACCAUUGGCCCGCCACAUUAAUAGUGGUUAAAACACAAAUGUUGCCGAGGAAAAUUUUCAGCCCUAGCGUGCGUAGAGUCUGAGAGCCUGUUGCCCUUGUAGAAAAAAAAGCAAGAAAUAAUCAACAGAAAACAAUCAAGGACCUGAAGGACCAGAGAGCCGACAACCACCAUCCUCUUGCCACGUCA